GACGAACGCUGGCGGCGUGCUUAACACAUGCAAGUCGUACGGUAAGGCCCUUUCGGGGGUACACGAGUGGCGAACGGGUGCGUAACACGUGAGUAACCUGCCCACAACUUUGGGAUAACGCUAGGAAACUGGUGCUAAUACUGGAUAUGUGCUCCUGCUGCAUGGUGGGGGUUGGAAAGCUCCGGCGGUUGUGGAUGGACUCGCGGCCUAUCAGCUUGUUGGUGGGGUAGUGGCCUACCAAGGCGGCAACGGGUAGCCGGCCUGAGAGGGUGACCGGCCACAUUGGGACUGAGAUACGGCCCAGACGCCUACGGGAGGAAGCAGUGGGGAAUAUUGCACAAUGGGCGCAAGCCUGAUGCAGCAACGCCGCGUGCGGGAUGACGGCCUUCGGGUUGUAAACCGCUUUCAGCAGGGACGAAGCUUUUUGUGACGGUACCUGCAGAAGAAGCACCGGCUAACUACGUG
rnacentral:rRNA from 1 species